AGAGACUCUGCAGGGCAGCUGCCUCUGGCUGUGUCAGCUGAGGGAUUGCCGUUGAGGGCAGUUGGGUGGCCAUGGCAACGAUUCUGAGUGCCACGUGCUGGCCCAAACAUGGCGGCUGGCAGUUGGGGCCUGCGGCCAUUUCUGGGAGGCAGUGGCAAGAAUGUAGCAAUGGGUCAGUGGGGGCUGGGGGCUCUCAAGCGCCCUGCAGCUGCCCGGGGUGGAGCCGUCCUGGUGCCGACAGCAGCAGAGGAGGAGCAAAGCAUGCUGACACCCCACAGUGAGCCAAGGGAGAGGCAGUCAUUAAAAACAGUUGAGUUUCUGUGGUUGUAUGGGCUGUCCUUUCCCAUCCCUCAGCUCUGCCUUCAGAGCGUGAGAAGGUGGCAUCUCUUCUGCCCUGAUGCCAAAGGAGAGGGGUGUGGAAGAGAGGGCCUGGUGUCCUCUGGGUGGCCGCACUGGGACUGCAGGGGGUGCGUUGGAGGGCGUGUGAGGUCCCUGGGGCCUGGUGCUGGGGUUUUGCACCCGGAGGAUGAGAAGGCCAAGUCAGGGCUGUUGUCAUCAUCCUGUUCUCUCCUUGGCCGUGGAAUGAGUGGCUGGAGGUGAAGCCAGGCCCUCCAUGGCAGUGCACAAAGAACAGCUGGCUAUUAGUCACACCUCCUGAGAAGUAGUUUGGACAGAUUUGAUCUCUGCAGUCUCUGGUAUAGCGCUCUUGAGAAGAGAGCUUAGGGGCAGGGGCACAGGUGUGUAGGUGGCUGUUCCCCAUCAAUCGACCCCAAUGUACCUCAGCAGCAUGAGAGUGCUCAUGCUCUACCAUCAGGUGAAGAGGAGAGGGAGGUGUUUGUUUCCUGUGCUGCGACUAAAUUGCCAACGGUGUGCUAAAAGACUGUGAAGACUGUUGCUGAACUAAGACCAAAGCCAGUUGUAUUCACGUGUCAUGUGAUGGCUUGCUGUGCCUAUGCUAACAUAGAACCAGCUGAGCCCAGUUUGUCCCUUCUUCCGGGAUGUCUCCAGUGUUUUGCUUUCAUGCCUUGUCCAGAUGCAGGAGGCAGUAGCAACGAUUAAGCUGCUCCAUAGUCUUCUCAAAGCUAAGCAGAGGCAGUUCCCUCAUGCUGCCCUGGGAUGCCAUGUGCCCUGGGCCCUCCCCAGCCCCCAGGCCCUGGGAUGGGCCCAUACAGCUGAUGAAUGAAGUGUGAAAACUAUGAACCCUGCUGCUCACUUCAGCUUUGCCUGUCCAGGUCUGGAACAAGCUUCAGAAAUGACCUCAGGUUUUAGGUGUAUUUCCAGGCCCGCACGCAGAGCUACUACUCUCUUUUUGCGCUUGUUAUGCUGCUGGUCUUAUGUUCUUUUACAGAUAGGUCCUCCUUCAACGAAUCCUAUGCAGUGCCUGGUAUCUCAGGAGAGGUAUUAUCUUUCUGUUUUUUAGUACAACCUGAGGAUAUUUUCAGAAUGCCUGCUAGCUCAGCACAUCACUUACCAUGUCCUUAUUCCAGUACAGGAAUGUAGGCUGUUUGGCAGAAGAUGGAAAUCUUUCCCAAAUAGCUAAACAGCCAAUAUCAAUAAUACGCCUGCUCCGAAAGUAAUGCCUCCUAUUUUAUUAUGUUGGCCCAUGACCUCAGAGGUGGACGUUGGUCAUUUAGCAGUAAAGUUUCAACCAUCCCACCACUACUCCAAGACAUUUUUUUGCCAUGAGAAUGAUGGCGGAAGAGGGGCAGUCUGAUAGAAUGGAGUCUGACAUGAAAGUGUAUCUGAAGUAAAGGUUCCUCCAUGUAGAAAAAAAAUUAAUCCACAAAGCCUCCUGAAUGUUUAUGGAGAUGGAGCAGUGAACGUGAGCACAGUGAGGUGAAGGGUGGUGCAUUUUGGCAGUGGCAAUUGCAGCAUGAAAGGCAAG
ensembl:lncRNA